UACAGAGACGGCAAGCGUUGCUCGGAUUCAUUGGGCGUAAAGGGUGCGUAGGCGGUCGGCUAAGUCGGAUGUGAAAUCUCGUGGCCCAACCACGAGCGGUCAUUCGAAACUGGUCGGCUUGAGGACUGGAGAGGAGACUGGAAUGGUCGGUGUAGCGGUGAAAUGCGUAGAGAUCGACCAGAACACCAGUGGCGAAGGCGGGUCUCUGGACAGUUCCUGACGCUGAGGCACGAAAGCCAGGGGAGCAAACGGG
rnacentral:rRNA from 1 species